GAUAAGGAGCUUGCUCCUUUGACGUUAGCGGCGGACGGGUGAGUAACACGUGGAUAACCUACCUAUAAGACUGGGAUAACUUCGGGAAACCGGAGCUAAUACCGGAUAACAUAUUGAACCGCAUGGUUCAAUAGUGAAAGGCGGCUUUGCUGUCACUUAUAGAUGGAUCCGCGCCGUAUUAGCUAGUUGGUAAGGUAACGGCUUACCAAGGCAACGAUACGUAGCCGACCUGAGAGGGUGAUCGGCCACACUGGAACUGGACACGGUCCAGACUCCUACGGGAGGCAGCAGUAGGGAAUCUUCCGCAAUGGGCGAAAGCCUGACGGAGCAACGCCGCGUGAGUGAUGAAGGUCUUCGGAUCGUAAAACUCUGUUAUCAGGGAAGAACAAAUGUGUAAGUAACUGUGCACAUCUUGACGGUACCUGAUCAGAAAGCCACGGCUAACUACGUGCCAGCAGCCGCGGUAAUACGUAGGUGGCAAGCGUUAUCCGGAAUUAUUGGGCGUAAAGCGCGCGUAGGCGGUUUUUUAAGUCUGAUGUGAAAGCCCACGGCUCAACCGUGGAGGGUCAUUGGAAACUGGAAAACUUGAGUGCAGAAAGAGGAAAGUGGAAUUCCAUGUGUAGCGGUGAAAUGCGCAGAGAUAUGGAGGAACACCAGUGGCGAAGGCGACUUUCUGGUCUGUAACUGACGCUGAUGUGCGAAAGCGUGGGGAUCAAACAGGAUUAGAUACCCUGGUAGUCCACGCCGUAAACGAUGAGUGCUAAGUGUUAGGGGGUUUCCGCCCCUUAGUGCUGCAGCUAACGCAUUAAGCACUCCGCCUGGGGAGUACGACCGCAAGGUUGAAACUCAAAGGAAUUGACGGGGACCCGCACAAGCGGUGGAGCAUGUGGUUUAAUUCGAAGCAACGCGAAGAACCUUACCAAAUCUUGACAUCCUUUGACCGCUCUAGAGAUAGAGUCUUCCCCUUCGGGGGACAAAGUGACAGGUGGUGCAUGGUUGUCGUCAGCUCGUGUCGUGAGAUGUUGGGUUAAGUCCCGCAACGAGCGCAACCCUUAAGCUUAGUUGCCAUCAUUAAGUUGGGCACUCUAAGUUGACUGCCGGUGACAAACCGGAGGAAGGUGGGGAUGACGUCAAAUCAUCAUGCCCCUUAUGAUUUGGGCUACACACGUGCUACAAUGGACAAUACAAAGGGCAGCUAAACCGCGAGGUCAAGCAAAUCCCAUAAAGUUGUUCUCAGUUCGGAUUGUAGUCUGCAACUCGACUACAUGAAGCUGGAAUCGC
rnacentral:rRNA from 1 species